ACUACAGUUUGACACCAUUCAUGCAAAACCUGGUAAGUCUUUUAGAUUCACUUGAAAUAAUGGACUGUCACCCAAUAAUUGUGUGUGGAGAUUUUAAUGAGAACCAGUUGCAGAGUGGAAGAAAACAGAUUCUGGAGCAGUUUCAGUCGAGAGGGUAUUCACAGCUGAUCACUUCUGGCACUACAGACAAGAACACCCUGCUUGACCUCAUUUUUAUUUCUCAGCCACAGAAAUGUCUAUAUUCAGGUGUUCUGAGAUCAUAUUACAGUUACCACAACCCUGUGUUUUGUGUCCUGUCCUCGAGCCAAUCAUGAAGUCGUCUGGUGAGUUUUGAAACAAUUACAGAUCAUGUUUGUUACAGAGUUUACUGAUUGUAGAGCAUGAAAAAUAUUUUUCAUUGAAAAAAUUGUCUUCCCUACUCUGUCUGUAAGAAGACCCUUUCUUAUUGCAAUGUUAUUAAUCAUUUCACCAAAUCAUUGCUGAACUUCAUGCAGAGCAGAGAACAUCUGCUAUCAUGCACCUCUGAUCUGAAAUGUGCUGCAACAUUUAUUAAACCAACAUCAUUUCUUUUAUUCUCAUGUUUUAAAUGACUAAAUCUUUUUACUGUGACGUAUGUAGCUCAACAAACGAGAUCUUCCCCUCCAAGGGCUUGAAAAUAUGAAAUAGUAAAUAAAUAAAUCCCACAUAAAUGCAGGUAUUUAAUAUGGGUCACAUGAAUAAAUACAGACAAUUAUAUUUUCUUGAUUAUAGUAGCUUUUGUAGAAUCAAAAGUUUUUGUGAUGAAUGAGUUUUUGCUUAUCAUGUUUUACAGGUAAAAAAUGUCAAAAGUUAUAAACUAUCUUUAGGCUACCAGAGAUGUCUAUAAUGAUACAUUAUGUAGAGAAAAACAUUAGUACAGCUUACAGAAUAUGUAUAAAAACUGAUUUAGAAGUAAAUGGAUAGUUUUCUGAAAGUUCCCGACUACAGUUUAACACCACCCACCCAGAUCAGCCCCCAAGUGUCUAUGUAAUGCUGGUAUGGUGUGUGAGUUUGACUUGGCCUUUAUCCGGGUGGGUUUGGGUUUGGGUGGAUAAAGGCCAAGUCAGAAUUCUCUGAGCAGCUGGAAAAAGCUGCUAAUAAACAAAGACAUCAAAAAGUGUGGGCUUUAGGUGUAGCCCCCGCUUUCUGAUGCACUAAUUAGACUUAGUAACCGACACCCCAUACCAGCAUUACAUAGACACUUGGGGGCUGAGCUGGGUGGGUGGUGUUAUAAGCACGUGUUUUGUUAGAUAUAUUUUUUCAGACACCAUCUUCAUGAACUGCUGAGCCAAACCUGAUCCAUCAGUGCUGGACUGCACAGAUAACUACAUGCCACAAGGAGACUGCUGUGUUAUGAAUUGCCAUACCAGUGUGUCUUCAAUGGAGAAGAUGACACACCCAUCACCUGACCUCCUGCCUGAUCUGGAGACCAUCAUCAUGCUACCACACUACACACCUCUGAGACCAUCAAUGAUGACUCAUACUGAGGAAACUGUAUUUCCUGUCAGAGAUGCUCAGUGAUCCUCAGAGCAGAGAGAGGUAUUGCUGUCUUCUGAGUUCUUCCGUGUCCCAACUGAGGCCUUCAAACCUCAUUGCAGAGCUCAUGUCUUUCCUCACCAUCAUGUGAGUGUGAGAUUGCUCUGGAUUCUGGUUAUGUGGCCUGCAGCACCUAUAAGAAUAAGCUCGUCCAGUGUGCCUGCAUUCCAGCUUCACAGAAAAGAACAUCAGACACCAGCGAGGGAGGAUAAGAAAGACAGACACAACAACAUUGUCAUCCCCUAUGUAGCCGGUGUAUCAGAAA